rnacentral:rRNA from 1 species
UCAAAAACAUGUCUCCUUGUAAAGGAUAAAUAAGGAGUCGGGCCUGCUCGGUGAAAUUUUAACAGCUGCGGUAUUUUAACUGUACUAAGGUAGCAUAAUAAUUUGCCUUAUAAUUUGAGGCUAGAAUGAAUGGUUUGACGAAGGUUUAUCUGUCUCUGUUUCAUUUUUUAGAAAUUAAUUUUCAAAGUGAAAAAGCUUGAAUUUUUUAAAGGGACGAGAAGACCCUAUUGAGCUUAUAAUUUUAUAUAAUUAUAAUUAUAAUUAUUAUAAUUAUUUAUAAAUUUUAGUUGGGGUGACUAAGGAAUAAAAAGUAACUUCCUUAAAAUACAAAUUGUUAAAUAAAGUAACCAAUGUAAUAUUGCUUAUAAUAUAGUUACCAUAGGGAUAACAGCGUAAUUUAUUUAGAGAGCUCAUAUUGAAAAAUAAGAUUGCGACCUCGAUGUUGGAUUAAAGUAACCUUAAGGUGCAGAAGCCUUAGUUGGUAAAUCUGUUCGAUUUUUAAAACUUU